rnacentral:tRNA from 1 species
AAUAAAAUGCCUGAAUAAAAGGAUUAUCUUGAUAGGAUAAAUUAUGUAACUUUUUGUUACUUUUAUUA